AAUCAGGACGUCAUAGAGGGUGAGAAUCCCGUAUGUGACCGGCCCGCACCCUUUACGUAGCUCCUUCGACCGAGUUGUUUGGGAAUGCAGCUCUAAAUGCGAGGUAAAUUUCUUCUAAAGCUAAAUACCGGCCAGAGACCGAUAGCGCACAAGUAGAGUGAUCGAAAGAUGAAAAGUACUUUGGAAAGAGAGUUAAAAAGCACGUGAAAUUGUUGAAAGGGUUGCGCCUGCAACCAGACUUCGUGGCAGUGUUCCGCCGGUCUUCUGACCGGUUCAUUCUCUGUCGCGAGGCCAUCAUCGUCUGGGCCCGCCGGAUAAGACCUGAGGAAUGUGGCUCCCCCUCGGGGGAGUGUUAUAGCCUCUGGUGAUGCGGCGAGGCUCGGGCGAGGUCCGCGCUUCGGCAACCAUGAUGGCGUAAUGGUUGUCGGCGGCCCGUCUUGAAACACGGACCAAGGAGUCUAACAUCUAUGCGAGUGUUCGGGUGUCAAACCCCUACGCGUAAUGAAAGUGAACGGAGGUGGGAACCGCAAGGUGCACCAUCGACCGAUCCUGAUGUCCUCGGAUGGAUUUGAGUAAGAGCAUAGCUGUUGGGACCCGAAAGAUGGUGAACUAUGCCUGAAUAGGGUGAAGCCAGAGGAAACUCUGGUGGAGGCUCGCAGCGGUUCUGACGUGCAAAUCGAUCGUCAAAUU
rnacentral:rRNA from 1 species